AAGUUAGUGUGCUUCCCAGUGAGAUCCCCUUGAGGGGCGGAACAUUUUCAUUCGUAAGUGGUUGUCAACUGAGUUAAGACUCAGGGUGUGUGUCCACAUUUCCUGUCAUUUCUAAGAUCCCAACAUGCCCAGUGCAUGCUGCCUCAGUCUCUUUGAGGUCACAUGUGUGUAGAUCCUACUGAUUUAGAGUCUUGUGUUCUCCGUGUUUUCCAUUCCCUAAUAGUAUGUGUUCUUUUGUUUUGUUUUGUUUUUCUAUUUUUCGAGACAGGGUUUCUCUGUAUAGCCCUGGCUAUCCUGGAGCUCACUUUGUAGACCAGGCUGGCCUCGAACUCAGAAAUCCACCUGCCUCUGCCUCCAGAGUGCUGGGAUUAAAGGCGUGCACCACCACACCUGGCUCAUAGUAUGUGUUCUUAACUGCCACCCAUGUCUCCCGUUUAUACUUGCAUAUCUAAGCUUGUCUGUAUAUCUAUCUUAAAAGUACUUCACCUUUCCUGAUUUUGUAUAUGAAACUCAUGGUAGAUAUGACUUUUUCUUUUCAAACAUCACUCAUAUGCCAUAAUAGAGUUCUGCAACUUUAGAGUAAGAUACUCUAAAGUUAAUCUUUCCAUGAGAACAUGUGUUUAGGUUUACAGCAAAUGGAAUUAAAACUAUAAAUUGUCUUGUGUCAAGCCUUUUAGUUUGUUUGUAUUAGCUUUGUUGGGGUAUAAUUCAUAAUACCAUCAUUAAACUGGUCUAAUUAAACAGCCCAAUGACUUACUGGAUUUGAGUACAUUUCUGAGACUGCGCUAUUGCUACAACCUUAAACCUGAAGAUGUAAUUAAGGGCAGGAAAUAUGGACAUGUAGUUAUCGCUGUUUCAAAGAUGUAGGGUUUUGUGUUUGUUCUUGUUUGAUUUUAAAUUCUAACAAGGCCUGUUGGGAAAAGUUCUGACCUCAAACAGUGUGGGUCAGUAAACCUGGUUACAAUCUCCUUCAAAUGCAUUUGUGCUCCCUGGUGUCUUUGAUAUGUUUAGCAGUCUUAUGUACUGUUUAACAAAUUGGUAACGGAGUUUGGGGAAUCAGUGUAUCCUUUCGGGGCUUGUGUGUGGGUCAGGAUGCUUGGAUCCUUUGUUUGUUUGUUUGUUUAGCAAAACAAUGAUAAAUUGUAGGCUCCUACAUAAACAUGGUUUUCCGAAGCAGGAAUCUUAGGUCAGUGUUUGAUUGCUUUCAUGGCUGUGUGUUUGAUGCAUGAAGCCCCCAUGGUUUUCCAGUGAGUGUCAGUGGCUUACAGUGCAAACACGAAAAGAGCCCCUCUUGCUUUUUCUCGUAUAUUUGUUAUACAUGAAUUGGGUACGUGCAACAGUAAUUAGGCUGUAUUUCAAAAAACAUCAAACUGGCUUUUUCAAGGCUAUGACUUGGUGUUAGGUUGUCGAAAAAAAAAAGGUGUUGGAAAUUCUGGGAUGGACUAAUUUGUGUUUCAUUACCUGUUUGGGGAAAAAAAAAACCCAAAGCCUACUUUAGAUAAACUAAACACACACUUAGGAAAAUGAUAGCAUACAGUCAUUUCUUUAUGCCUUUAAAGAAAUAGCCACCAUAAGAUAUGGCCAAGCUAACUGCCUGGACAUAAAUGCACCUCUGACCAACUUUAAAAAGAGCAAUAACAUCAAGUUAAUUAUGGGAAAUGAUUCUACAAAAAUGUAAUAUGCCAUUAAGACAUUAGCUGAUUGACAUCAGAUUUCUAUAAAGGUCAUUUGAACCUGCAGCUCUGCAUCCAGCUGGUUUCUAUGUUUUUUUUUUCUAGAUUAAUU
rnacentral:lncRNA from 1 species